AGUGAACGCUGGCGAUAGGCCUAACACCUGCAAGUCGAACGGCAGCACAGUAAGCGCUUGCUCUUACGGGUGGCGAGUGGCGGACGGGUGAGGCAUACAUCGGAAUCUACUUUUUCGUGGGGGAUAACGUAGGGAAACUUACGCUAAUACCGCAUACGACCUACGGGUGAAAGCAGGGGAUCUUCGGACCUUGCGCGAUUGAAUGAGCCGAUGUCGGAUUAGCUAGUUGGCGGGGUAAAGGCCCACCAAGGCGACGAUCCGUAGCUGGUCGGAGAGGAUGAUCAGCCAAACUGGAACUGAGACACGGGCCAGACUCCUACGGGAGGCAGCAGUGGGGAAUAUUGGACAAUGGGCGCAAGCCUGAUCCAGCCAUACCGCGUGGGUGAAGAAGGCCUUCGGGUUGUAAAGCCCUUUUGUUGGGAAAGAAAAGCAGCAGGUUAAUACCCCGCUGUUCUGACGGUACCCAAAGAAUAAGCACCGGCUAACUUCGUG
rnacentral:rRNA from 1 species